CUGACUGCUAUCGGAUUGAUACUAAGCCAUGCGAGUCAUUGUAGUAAUACAAGGCAGACGGCUCAGUAACGCGUAGUCAACCUAACCUAUGGACGGGAAUAACCUCGGGAAACUGAGUAUAAUGCCCGAUAGAACAUUAUGCCUGGAAUGGUUUAUGUUCCAAAUGAUUUAUCGCCGUAGGAUGGGACUGCGGCCUAUCAGUUUGUUGGUGAGGUAAUGGCCCACCAAGACUAUUACAGGUACGGGCUCUGAGAGGAGUGGCCCGGAGAUGGGUACUGAGACACGGACCCAGGCCCUAUGGGGCGCAGCAGGCGAGAAAACUUUGCAAUGUGCGAAAGCACGACAAGGUUAAUCCGAGUGGUUUCUGCUAAAGGAACCUUUUGUCGGUCCUAGAAACACCGAUGAAUAAGGGGUGGGCAAGUUCUGGUGUCAGCCGCCGCGGUAAAACCAGCACCUCAAGUGGUCAGGAUGAUUAUUGGGCCUAAAGCAUCCGUAGCCGGCUCUGUAAGUUUUCGGUUAAAUCUGUACGCUCAACGUACAGGCUGCCGGGAAUACUGCAGAGCUAGGGAGUGGGAGAGGUAGACGGUACUCGGUAGGAAGGGGUAAAAUCCUUUGAUCUAUUGAUGACCACCUGUGGCGAAGGCGGUCUACCAGAACACGUCCGACGGUGAGGGAUGAAAGCUGGGGGAGCAAACCGGGAUUAGAUACCCGGGUAGUCCCAGCUGUAAACUAUGCAAACUCAGUGAUGCAUUGGCUUGUGGCUAAUGCAGUGCUGCAGGGAAGCCGUUAAGUUUGCCGCCUGGGAAGUACGUACGCAAGUAUGAAACUUAAAGGAAUUGGCGGGGGAGC
rnacentral:rRNA from 1 species